rnacentral:rRNA from 1 species
GACGAACGCUGGCGGCGUGCUUAACACAUGCAAGUCGAACGGAAAGGCCCUGCUUUUGUGGGGUGCUCGAGUGGCGAACGGGUGAGUAACACGUGAGUAACCUGCCCUUGACUUUGGGAUAACUUCAGGAAACUGGGGCUAAUACCGGAUAGGAGCUCCUGCUGCAUGGUGGGGGUUGGAAAGUUUCGGCGGUUGGGGAUGGACUCGCGGCUUAUCAGCUUGUUGGUGGGGUAGUGGCUUACCAAGGCUUUGACGGGUAGCCGGCCUGAGAGGGUGACCGGCCACAUUGGGACUGAGAUACGGCACAGCCUCCUACGGGAGGCAGCAGUGGGGAAUAGUGCACUAUGGGCGGAAGCAUGAUGCAGCAACGCCGCGUGCGGGAUGACGGCCUUCGGGUUGUAAACCGCUUUCGCCUGUGACGAAGCGUGAGUGACGGUAAUGGGUAAAGAAGCACCGGCUAACUACGUG